UAAGAGGAACCUCCGUAGCCCGCACCACUCUCCUUCCUUUGAUGUGAAAUAGACGUUGAGCGGUCAGGUCAUUGGUGACCACAUGGUUGAAACCAGAGGCUACUCCACCUGCCUAAAAUAAUACAAUUAAAUAGACAAGACGCCUUACAGACUCAGCUCUGCUACAGACCUAGAUGAAGACGCUCAUGGACACGUCCUGUAUCCCCCCGGCUGAUGCUGCAUCUGUAUUGUUCUGAGUAUAUGAGGAGAUACCAGUGACCAGGUGACCCCCAAGAGUGACCUAUGGGCUCCCUGCUAGUCUCCCCCAUAUAAGCCCUGGGUGGAGCUUCUCUCUCUCUUCGGCUGAGGUCCAGUGCAGUCGCCUAGUUUGUAUGUCCAGAGUGUUGGAGACCUCAAAGUCCAGUCCUACAGCCGCCAUCAAGUCAAGUAAGAUAAAGUCACAGCUUUAUGAGUCAAGUCAGUCCCUGUCAUCUGUCAAGUCAGCGUGGUCUGCAUUCAAUUGUCCAGUCCUACUACAAGUCCCAGCAAACCCUUAAGAUAUCUUCAUCACAGAUAACCUGCGUGGGCCCUGGCUGAACUGUAUAGACUUUACCAUCUGUCUACCCUCAGUAAA